CUGGGAAGAGAGAAGAGUUAAACGUAAGGCAAUCCAGCAGAUAAUCCUCAAUCAGCCUACACAGUUGGUACAGCGAGCUCUGGGCUAGAAGAUCCAGGCUGAGGAGGAGGGUGGAGAAGGAUUGAGAUGUAGAGCCUCUGGGUUGAGAGGGACCUCUGAAAUGAACUCAUCUAGACUGCUGCCAUGGAGAGGGUGCUCUACAGUAGCCCUGUCAAUCGCUGGCUGGCUUCUGCCUGGAGCCUCCACAUUCAUGAGGGAUGCCAAAAAUCGAAGAAGUUCUUCAUAGAUGUACAGCCCAGCACAUUCAUAACUGAGCAUUGUUGCCUGACAAUUCAUUUAUUCAACAAUGAAUGUUUGAGUGCCAUGCAUGGUUUUGGGUAUCCACUUGUGAGCAAGAUGACCUAGGUCCCUGCUCUCACUUGGUGGAGGGGUAGGGAAAGCAGGUAGGUACCGAGAAGGAAAGAAGAUAGAACUCUAUGCCCUGCAAGCUACUGCUAGAAAACUAACACUUCUGUCUUCCCUCGGGACUCUCCUAGGCCCUUUCACCACUUCUCACCUCUCACCCACAUUCUGCACUCCCAGCUAAAGCAGCCAAAGGACUAUUUGAUUUGGCAGAGCUUUCAGGCACAAAGCCCUAUGUUCCCUCUGGCUUAAAGCCACUACUCUGAAGGCUGAAAACUGCCCUUUGGC
rnacentral:lncRNA from 1 species